AUUGAACGCUGGCGGCAGGCCUAACACAUGCAAGUCGAGCGAGCGGCGGACGGGUGAGUAAUGUAUGGGGAUCUGCCCGAUAGAGGGGGAUAACUACGGGAAACUGUAGCUAAUACCGCGUACCAUAGGAUGAGCCCAAGUGGGAUUAGGUAGUUGGUGAGGUAAAGGCUCACCAAGCCGACGAUCUCUAGCUGGUCUGAGAGGAUGACAAUCCACACUGGGACGUGGACACGGCCCGUACUCCUACGGGAGGCAGCGUUGGGGAAUAUUGCGCAAUGGGGGCAGUCGGACGCAGCCAUGCCGCGUGAAUGAAGAAGGCCUUCGGGUUGUAAAGUUCUUUCGUUAGCGAGGCGUUAACUACAGAAGAAGCACCGGCUAACGCCGUGCCAGCCACCGCGGUAAUUC
rnacentral:rRNA from 1 species